GCUGGGUGUGGUGGCUCACGCCUGUAAUCCUAGCACUUUGGGAGGCUGAGGCAGGUGGAUCACCUGAGGCCAGGAGUUCAAGACCAGCCUGACCAACAUGGUGAAACCCUGUCUCUA
rnacentral:SRP_RNA from 1 species